CUUGGUCAUUUAGAGGAAGUAAAAGUCGUAACAAGGUUUCCGUAGGUGAACCUGCGGAAGGAUCAUUAGUGAAUAUAGGACGUCCAACUUAACUUGGAGUCCGAACUCUCACUUUCUAACCCUGUGCACUUGUUUGGGAUAGUAACUCUCGCAAGAGAGCGAACUCCUAUUCACUUAUAAACACAAAGUCUAUGAAUGUAUUAAAUUUUAUAACAAAAUAAAACUUUCAACAACGGAUCUCUUGGCUCUCGCAUCGAUGAAGAACGCAGCGAAAUGCGAUAAGUAAUGUGAAUUGCAGAAUUCAGUGAAUCAUCGAAUCUUUGAACGCACCUUGCGCUCCAUGGUAUUCCGUGGAGCAUGCCUGUUUGAGUGUCAUGAAUACUUCAACCCUCCUCUUUCUUAAUGAUUGAAGAGGUGUUUGGUUUCUGAGCGCUGCUGGCCUUUACGGUCUAGCUCGUUCGUAAUGCAUUAGCAUCCGCAAUCGAACUUCGGAUUGACUUGGCGUAAUAGACUAUUCGCUGAGGAAUUCUAGUCUUCGGAUUAGAGCCGGGUUGGGUUAAAGGAAGCUUCUAAUCAGAAUGUUUACAUUUUAAGAUUAGAUCUCAAUCAGGUAGGACU
rnacentral:rRNA from 1 species